GGCAGGGAGGGAGGACGCAGAGGAGUUCCGCGCUUGGAGAAGGAGCUGGGUUGGCAACGUGGAAAGUGCGAGGACAUGAACGGAAGCAGGGGAGACCAGUGAGCAGGAUACUGUAGUAACCCAGCUCAGAGAGAAUAAGCUAUGAAAACUAAGAGCACUUGGAAAAGAGGAGGCAGAUUCAAGUCUUAUUACGAAGGCAAAAUUGCCAGGGCUCGCUCGUUAGCGCAGGACGUGAAAGCGUAGGAUAAAGGUGCCAGGCCCCGCGGCGCGAAGCUGGCCUGAGGUGGAGAACGAGAAGGAACAACCUGACAUCACCCAGACCUUCCUCUUCUGUCUGCAGCGGGUGGCAGCUGCCCGGUUCCGUUCCAGAAAUUUCCUCCGCCUCUCGUCGGGAUCCUCGUCCACCACCCUUCGCCGGCGGCCCCCUGUGGGCUGGGGCGGCUGUAUUGUCUGGGUUGGCUGCAUCUGUUGUGUCGCUGUAGGUAGGAGGGUCAAUAUCAGCUGGAAAUGUUAAUUCAACUGUCACAGCAGGCAAUUUCCAAGAGGAGCCAUUUACAAUUCCUGGAGAACCUGGCUACUGGUGUGUGUGUACAGAAAGUUAAGCAUAGGGAGAGUUUGUGAAUUUUGCCCUGAUGAUGGUGAAUUUUGAAGAUGAUGGUGCAGAGCACUGCCAAACAAAAAAUAAGUAACAACUUGUUUCUGAGCUGAUGUGCAU